ACAGCAGUCGCCGCGGGAACACGGAGGGGGCUAGCGUUGUUCGGAAUUACUGGGCGUAAAGCGCACGUAGGCGGCUUGGUAAGUUAGAGGUGAAAGCCCGGAGCUCAACUCCGGAAUUGCCUUUAAGACUGCCGAGCUAGCAGGUGAGAGAGGUAAGUGGAAUUCCGAGUGUAGAGGUGAAAUUCGUAGAUAUUCGGAAGAACACCAGUGGCGAAGGCGGCUUACUGGCUCAUACUGGACGCUGAGGUGCGAAAGCGUGGGGAGCAAACAGGAUUAGAUACCCGCGUAGUCCCUGUCUCUUAUAC
rnacentral:rRNA from 1 species